rnacentral:miRNA from 1 species
CAAGACGAGUCUUGCCACACUCAUCAGGUGAUUUUAAAUUCACCUGAUGAGUGUGGCAAGACUCGUCUUUUC